rnacentral:tRNA from 1 species
GGAGAGGUACCGAAGCGGUCAUAACGGCACCGAUUCGAAAUCGGUUGGGGGCGAUCGCCCCACGUGGGUUCGAAUCCCACCCUCUCCGCCA